rnacentral:rRNA from 1 species
UGGCUCAGGAUGAACGCUGGCUGUGUGCCUAAUACAUGCAUGUCGAGCGAAGUAGCAAUACUUAGCGGCGAAUGGGUGAGUAACACGUGCUCAACGUGCCCUCAAGAUUGGGAUAGCAACUGGAAACAGUUGAUAAUACCAAAUACUUAUAUUUUUCGCAUGAAGAAUAUAUAAAAGGAGCGUUUGCUCCGCUCGAGGAUCGGGGUGCGUAACAUUAGCUAGUUGGUGAGGUAACGGCCCACCAAGGCGAUGAUGUUUAGCGGGGUUGAGAGACUGAACCGCCACACUGGGACUGAGAUACGGCCCAGACUCCUACGGGAGGCAGCAGUAGGGAAUAUUCCACAAUGAACGAAAGUUUGAUGGAGCGACACAGCGUGCAGGAUGAAGGUCCUAUGGAUUGUAAACUGCUGUGGUAAGGGAAGAAAAAGUAGCUUAGGAAAUGAAGUUACAUUGACGGUACCUUAUUAGAAAGCAACGGCUAACUAUGUGCCAGCAGCCGCGGUAAUACAUAGGUUGCAAGCGUUAUCCGGAAUUAUUGGGCGUAAAGCAUCUGUAGGUUGUUUGUUAAGUCUGGCGUCAAAUUUUGGGGCUCAACCCCAAAUCGCGUUGGAUACUGGCAGACUAGAGUUAUGUAGAGGUUAGCAGAAUUCCUUGUGAAGCGGUGAAAUGCGUAGAUAUAAGGAAGAAUAUCAAUAUGGCGAAGGCAGCUAACUGGACAUACACUGACACUGAGAGAUGAAAGCGUGGGGAGCAAACAGGAUUAGAUACCCUGGUAGUCCACGCCCUAAACGAUGAUCAUUAGCUGAUGGAGAAUUCAUCGGCGCAGCUAACGCAUUAAAUGAUCCGCCUGAGUAGUACGUUCGCAAGAAUAAAACUUAAAGGAAUUGACGGGGAUCCGCACAAGCGGUGGAGCAUGUGGUUUAAUUUGAUGCUACGCGUAGAACCUUACCCACUCUUGACAUCUUCUGCAAAGCUAUGGAGACAUAGUGGAGGUUAACAGAAUGACAGAUGGUGCAUGGUUGUCGUCAGCUCGUGUCGUGAGAUGUUCGGUUAAGUCCUGCAACGAGCGCAACCCUUGUCCUUAGUUACUAACAUUUAGUUGAGCACUCUAAGGAGACUGCCCGAGUAAUCGGGAGGAAGGUGGGGACGACGUUAAAUCAUCAUGCCUCUUACGAGUGGGGCUACACACGUGCUACAAUGGACGGUACAAAGAGAAGCGAAGUGGUGACAUGGAGCAAAUCUCAAAAAACCGUUCUCAGUUCGGAUUGAAGUCUGCAACUCGACUUCAUGAAGUCGGAAUCGCUAGUAAUCGUAGAUCAGCUACGCUACGGUGAAUACGUUCUCGGGUCUUGUACACACCGCCCGUCAAACCAUGGGAGCUGGUAAUGCCCGAAGUCGGUUUAUAAACAAACUGCCUAAGGCAGGACUGGUGACUGGGGUUAAGUCGUAACAAGGUAUCCCUACGAGAACGUG